AGGAAAAAUGUCACGAAACCUCCCACACACAAACAAUUCUUUCAUUGGGUGAAAAAGGAAGAAAUAAAAUUAGCACUUUUUUAACAAUAAGAAUGGUUUUAAUUGAUCACAGAACAUCCGAAUAUAUAUAUUUGAGUCAACUGGUAGAUUCAAGUAACUCCUAUGUGUUUAUGACAUUGCGAUUUCCUAUCCAUAAUGUUCAAGACUCUCAUCUCCAUUCUAUUCUUGUAUGAAGCUUAGCUUGGUUUGGUUAGCUUCUUAGGAUAACUUUUCUCCUAUCAUCAUCCCCAUACGUAUAUAUCAGAAACCGAGCAUCUCUUGUUGAGGAUGGAUAAAGUACUUGAGUCUCUUCUUUUGUCCUAAUUCUUUGAGAAUAUAGAAGGUAUUUCGGUCCUUAAUGAAUGAAGAUCGAUCUAAGCAUAUGAAAAGCACAUCUAAAUUAAUAAUAAUAAUUAAUAAAUUAAUGAUAAUAACUGAUGGAUCAUAUUCAUGUUGUGAUAGUCCUAAGUAAUCAUAUUUUACUUUA
rnacentral:lncRNA from 1 species